rnacentral:rRNA from 1 species
GACGAACGCUGGCGGCGUGCCUAAUACAUGCAAGUCGAACGCUGAAGAGAGGAGCUUGCUCUUCUUGGAUGAGUUGCGAACGGGUGAGUAACGCGUAGGUAACCUGCCUGGUAGCGGGGGAUAACUAUUGGAAACGAUAGCUAAUACCGCAUAAAAUUGAUUAUUGCAUGAUAAUUAAUUGAAAGAUGCAACUGCAUCACUACCAGAUGGACCUGCGUUGUAUUAGCUAGUUGGUGAGGUAACGGCUCACCAAGGCGACGAUACAUAGCCGACCUGAGAGGGUGAUCGGCCACACUGGGACUGAGACACGGCCCAGACUCCUACGGGAGGCAGCAGUAGGGAAUCUUCGGCAAUGGGGGGAACCCUGACCGAGCAACGCCGCGUGAGUGAAGAAGGGUUUCGGAUCGUAAAGCUCUGUUGUAAGAGAAGAACGGGUGUGAGAGUGGAAAGUUCACACUGUGACGGUAUCUUACCAGAAAGGGACGGCUAACUACGUG